UAUAGGACCUUACUUUUGCUUAGUGGAUCCACUAGCCUAAUCUUACGUGAUCAUCUAAAAAGAAUGAUACGUCAAGUCCCAUGUUGGCGCAUGGUUCUUAUGGAGAGUUGAGUUAAUAUGAACUCGUGUCCCCAAUUCGGUGCUCAAUACUACUCCCAAAAAUACUUUGGCUCAUGCUUUUAAAAUAACUUCUUUCUUUAGUUUGAGAUAAUUACUCAAAGCUUAGCCCAACGGCUCUUUUGGAAGACAUGAUUUCCUUUCUUACUUAAAUGUAAAAACAUUUAGAAACUUCUUUGGGAAGUACAUAGUUCCCUAUUAAUUUUGGAGAAAUGGACUCGACUCAUUACUCAUUACUUUACUUGAACUCUUUACUUUUGACUUGACUUGAAACUCUUAACUUAACUUAAGACUUGAUACUCUUAACUCGACUUGAGACUUGAAACGACGUUAAGACGUUCAAUAACGACUCUUGAAAAGCUUUAACGACUUGCCUUGACUUGCUUAACUUCUAAGCUUGGCGCUAACAUCACUUGACUUGGAAUCUAAUUUUCUUGAAUUGAAUUAUGGAUUCAAGGACUUGAUUGGUGUUUGGAAGG
rnacentral:lncRNA from 1 species